UAGCUAGUUGGUGGGGUAAGGGCCUACCAAGGCGGCGAUCGGUAGCUGGUCUGAGAGGAUGACCAGCCACACUGGAACUGAGACACGGUCCAGACUCCUACGGGAGGCAGCAGUGGGGAAUAUUGGACAAUGGGGGCAACCCUGAUCCAGCAAUGCCGCGUGUGUGAAGAAGGCCUGAGGGUUGUAAAGCACUUUCAGUGGGGAGGAGGGUUGAUAGGUUAAGAGCUGAUUAACUGGACGUUACCCACAGAAGAAGCACCGGCUAACUCCGUGCCAGCAGCCGCGGUAAUACGGAGGGUGCGAGCGUUAAUCGGAAUUACUGGGCGUAAAGGGUGCGUAGGUGGUUGAUUAAGUUAUCUGUGAAAUUCCUGGGCUUAACCUGGGACGGUCAGAUAAUACUGGUUGACUCGAGUAUGGGAGAGGGUAGUGGAAUUUCCGGUGUAGCGGUGAAAUGCGUAGAGAUCGGAAGGAACACCAGUGGCGAAGGCGGCUACCUGGCCUAAUACUGACACUGAGGCACGAAAGCGUGGGGAGCAAACAGGAUUAGAUACCCUGGUAGUCCACGCUGUAAACGAUGUCAACUAGCUGUUGGUUAUAUGAAAAUAAUUAGUGGCGC
rnacentral:rRNA from 1 species